GGGAGUGUGGCCGAGUGGUCCAAGGCGCCCGCUUCAGGUUUACCAACUAUAGUUGGACUUGAAUUGCUGGUCUCGAAAGAGGCGUGAGUUCGAACCUCACCGCUCUCA